UUAGCCAUAGUUGUGCCAUA
rnacentral:siRNA from 1 species